AAAAUUUACUUUUGAAAUGAAUACAGAAUGAACAUGCCAGAUCAUUGUGAAAUCAUUUAAUAAGCCAAGGUAAUUAUAAAACUCUUUGCCCAGGUGCUAUAUAAACAAAGGUAUCGUAUUAUGAUAGCUGGUUGCUAUAGCUACCUGAUUUUUAAUAUGCUUUUGAAUGACUUUUAAGUAUUCUUGCAAAGUUCAUACAAGAGACACAUUUCACACCUAAUGAAAAUCAUGACUAAUUAGAGCUGGUAGAACCAGGACCACGAACUCUAAUUUGGAGUAUAUGUUGCACUUUAAAGUAAAUAUUUAUUUCGUAUCUAUGAAAACAAGACCAUGUUUGUCAAUGACGUGUAUAGCUGCUAAGCAAACCGGCAUGCUCAUCUCGUCUUUCUUCAGCACUUACUUUCUGGGGUCUUGGGAAGAAGAUGAGGAUGCUUACAAAGUCCCCAGAGGUGUGUGUGUUCAUUGACAGCGUUGAACUCAGAAAACGUCCGGAUGUUCAACUUCCCUAUGUUUCUCAUUGAUGAUGGGACAAUCGCUUUGAAAGAUUAGAGCCUCCUUAUUACUACAAAGUGUGAUGCGGAGUGGAGUAAGGAUCUGAUGGACAUUUGCAGAGAAGAUUCCAGCCCAUGUGGAGAUGGAUGGCAUGAUUUCCCAGGUGUACAAUACAGUGAUUCAACAAUUCUAUACAUCAGUGCUCAUCAUGGU